rnacentral:rRNA from 1 species
GAACGCUGGCGGCGUGCCUAAUACAUGCAAGUCGAACGGUCUUUCUAUGGAAGCUUGCUUCCACUGAGAAGAUAGUGGCGAACGGGUGAGUAACACGUGGGUAACCUGCCCAUAAGAGGGGGAUAACAUCCGGAAACGGGUGCUAAUACCGCAUAGUUUUCUUGAUCGCAUGAUCGGGAAAGGAAAGACGGCCUUUGUGCUGUCGCUUAUGGAUGGACCCGCGGCGUAUUAGUUAGUUGGUGAGGUAACGGCUCACCAAGACGAUGAUACGUAGCCGACCUGAGAGGGUGACCGGCCACAUUGGGACUGAGACACGGCCCAAACUCCUACGGGAGGCAGCAGUAGGGAAUCUUCCGCAAUGGACGAAAGUCUGACGGAGCAACGCCGCGUGAGUGAAGAAGGUUUUCGGAAUCGUAAAACUCUGUUGUCAGAGAAGAACAAGUUGGAGAGUAACUGCUCCAGCCUUGACGGUAUCUGACCAGAAAGCCACGGCUAACUACGUGCCAGCAGCUGC